rnacentral:tRNA from 1 species
AGCCUACUAAUAAUUGUUUUGAAAACAAUGAUUAGACUUGAGUCUGUAGGCAA